AUACCAUGAUUUGAAAUUGUGUCACAUUUCAAUGUUUUGUUAUGCAUGGUGUAUACAGGCAAAUUCUAUAGUAUUUAAAAACAAAGUUAACUAGGAAACACAAUGUAAUCAUGUUGCAUGCAUUUCAACAUUUACACACUGUUUCUUGCUCCUACAGUAUAAUUACUUUUCAGGUGUUUUUUUUUUUAAAUUGUUUGCAGACAGCUUAUGAAAGACAGCAAUGUCAGAAGAAACUGGUCUGUUAUAUUCUAGAUUCUUAACUUGCAUUUACUGCAUAAUGUACAUUUUUCGUUAAAAGUGGAUAAAACUGUCAAACUUUCAAUGGUAUUGUUAGCUUGUUUAAGUGUGCAAUGAAACUGCUGACCAAUGUAUUUUAUUUUGUUUGUUGUGUUUUUGUUAUAAAUGAUUAGUGGAUAUAAGAUUUUAUUAUAUUUUGUAAAAUGGCAUUGCCUUUAACAUUCCAUGUUCAUGUUAUACAUGUACUUUGUUUUCUGUUUCACUUUGAGUGAAGUGCCAUAUUGUUUUUACAUUAGAAAACAAGUUCUUGAUUAUUCUAUACAGAACUUUAUGUGAAAAAAAAUCAUUCAGCACUAAUUUCACUACUUUUGUGAACUUUUGCU
rnacentral:lncRNA from 1 species